rnacentral:rRNA from 1 species
AUUGAACGCUGGCGGCAUGCCUUACACAUGCAAGUCGAACGGCAGCACGGGGGCGAACCCUGGUGGCGAGUGGCGAACGGGUGAGUAACAUAUCGGAACAUACCCUAGAGUGGGGGAUAACGUAGCGAAAGUUACGCUAAUACCGCAUACGAUCUAAGGAUGAAAGUGGGGGAGUCUUCGGACCUCUCGCUAUGAGAUGAGCCCAAGCGGGAUUAGCUAGUUGGUGAGGUAAAGGCUCACCAAGGCUACGAUCCCUAGCUGGUCUGAGAGGAUGAUCAGCCACACUGGAACUGAGACACGGUCCAGACUCCUACGGGAGGCAGCAGUGGGGAAGUAUUGGACAAUGGGCGAAAGCCUGAUCCAGCCAUGCCGCGUGUGUGAAGAA